GAGCACAUGCGGGGCCCGAGUCUGUGCCUCUGCGGUUAUCAGCGAAGGCGCUCGCACACUGACGGCGCUCGCAUCCAUCCUCCCCCAUGCCGGAACACAGGACGAUCCCUCGCGGCUUCCUGGUAAUGAAUGACCCGAGGGUAACACCAACACAACCUUCGAGAAAAGGCGGACCAUUUCCCCAAGCCCGAGGUACGUUUUCAUCUCUUCUUGAUAGGGAAUUAAGCAGAGCAAGUGUCCACGGGCGUGAUUGCAGACGGAGGC
rnacentral:lncRNA from 1 species